UCUUUAUACUUAUUUUCUCUAAAGUAAUGCGUGAGGUGAAAACAUUCCCUUCCUCAGAGUUGUGUUAGUGACUGCAAGCAGGUCGCUCUGCCAUCUUAUUUCCUCAGAUUAAGCCGUAAAAAUACUUGGUCUGCAGCUACAUCGCUUCCUCACCACGAUGGCCAAACUUAAAGUUCACGUUGUUUAUUGCGGAGCCUGAGGCUACGCUGGCAAGUUCCGCUCGUUACAGGCGGAGCUGCUGAAGGAGUUCCCCGAUGAGAUUGAAGUGACUGGAGAAGGAACUCCAGGCAUGACGGGUCUCUUCGAGGUCAAAGUGGGCGACAAACUCGUCCACUCCAAGAAGCGCGGCGCAGGUUUCGUGGACACCGAGCAAAAGUACCGCGCUAUCGCCGAUGCAGUCACGGCGGCGCUCAAAUGACGCUCAUGAUUCCUGUGCUACGGGAUUAGUUUAGGUUGCAGAGGUGGAGGCUGGUGUAGUGCCGUUCAAGGACCUGCCUUAUGAAGCGCGACACUCAAAGCUUCUGCUGGUGUCACGCGGACGACUUCCAUCAAGGGACUUGUACGGCGCCGCGGCCGCUGCCGCCCCUGCAACGCGUGUCUUGUUAAUUUUAUUUUUAAAUUAUAUAAAGAAUAUGUAAUUUAAUAUUUAAUAGAAUUUCUUGCUUUUGAAAUUCAAUUCAAGAGUACCCAGUUCAUUCAUUUACCAGCCCCUGUGUGAUACUAAAUAUUAAUGUUAGCAAUAACACACGCGCAUAUUUUCGAUAUUUUUAGGUAACUACACACGCGCAUAUUUUCGACAUUAUUCUUCGAUAUUUUUAGGUAAAUGUUACCUGUUCCUUGUUGAGCCUUGAGAAGGAAACCUUGCAUUGCCUCAAUACAUGGUGUCUUCGAAUAAGAUGUUUAGGCAUAUGAAAAAUUCACAACUCCAUGUUGACUUGCCUUGAUGACUCAUACUCUCUGGUACAAAGGUCAUGCAUCAUGACCUCAUUUUACAUAAUAUAUCAAAGCAUAUAAUAAAUAUUAAUCAUUCUUUUUGCCUGUUCUCGUUUGUUUACAUUACUGAUAGAUCCUUCCGAAAGACGAAGGUGAAACUAGUAAUGCGAUAAAAUAUUUUAAUAAACAUCUUACAAUACAUCGAAAUUAAA
rnacentral:lncRNA from 1 species